rnacentral:rRNA from 1 species
UAGGGAAUAUUGGACAAUGGGGGCAACCCUGAUCCAGCCAUGCCGCGUGAGUGAAGAAGGCCCUCGGGUUGUAAAGCUCUUUUGUCCGGAAAGAAAAGCAUCGGGUUAAUACCCCGGUGUUCUGACGGUACCGGAAGAAUAAGCACCGGCUAACUUCGUGCCAGCAGCCGCGGUAAUACGAAGGGUGCAAGCGUUACUCGGAAUUACUGGGCGUAAAGCGUGCGUAGGUGGUUCGUUAAGUCUGAUGUGAAAGCCCUGGGCUCAACCUGGGAAUGGCAUUGGAAACUGGCGUACUGGAGCGCGGUAGAGGGUAGCGGAAUUCCCGGUGUAGCAGUGAAAUGCGUAGAGAUCGGGAGGAACAUCCGUGGCGAAGGCGGCUACCUGGACCAGCACUGACACUGAGGCACGAAAGCGUGGGGAGCAAACA